rnacentral:rRNA from 1 species
AACGAACGCUGGCGGCAGGCUUAACACAUGCAAGUCGAGCGCCCCGCAAGGGGAGCGGCAGACGGGUGAGUAACACGUGGGAACGUGCCCAAAGGUACGGAACAACUCCGGGAAACUGGAGCUAAUACCGUAUGUGCCCGAGAGGGGAAAGAUUUAUCGCCUUUGGAUCGGCCCGCGUCUGAUUAGCUAGUUGGCGGUGUAAUGGACCACCAAGGCGACGAUCAGUAGCUGGUCUGAGAGGAUGACCAGCCACACUGGGACUGAGACACGGCCCAGACUCCUACGGGAGGCAGCAGUGGGGAAUAUUGGACAAUGGGCGCAAGCCUGAUCCAGCCAUGCCGCGUGAGUGAUGAAGGCCUUAGGGUUGUAAAGCUCUUUCGCCGAGGACGAUAAUGACGGUACUCGGAUAAGAAGCUCCGGCUAACUUCGUGCCAGCCGCCGCGGUAA